rnacentral:rRNA from 1 species
GAUGAACGCUGGCGGCGUGCCUAAUACAUGCAAGUCGAGCGAACAGACGAGGAGCUUGCUCCUCUGACGUUAGCGGCGGACGGGUGAGUAACACGUGGAUAACCUACCUAUAAGACUGGGAUAACUUCGGGAAACCGGAGCUAAUACCGGAUAAUAUAUUGAACCGCAUGGUUCAAUAGUGAAAGACGGUUUUGCUGUCACUUAUAGAUGGAUCCGCGCCGCAUUAGCUAGUUGGUAAGGUAACAGCUUACCAAGGCAACGAUGCGUAGCCGACCUGAGAGGGUGAUCGGCCACACUGGAACUGAGACACGGUCCAGACUCCUACGGUAGGCAGCAGUAGGGAAUCUUCCGCAAUGGGCGAAAGCCUGACGGAGCAACGCCGCGUGAGUGAUGAAGGUCUUCGGAUCGUAAAACUCUGUUAUUAGGGAAGAACAAAUGUGUAAGUAACUAUGCACGUCUUGACGGUACCUAAUCAGAAAGCCACGGCUAACUACGUG